UACGUAGGGGGCUAGCGUUGUCCGGAUUUAUUGGGCGUAAAGCGCGUGUAGGCGGCCAUAUAGGUCUGCUGUGAAAACUCGAGGCUCAACCUCGAGCCGUCGGCGGAAACCAUUUGGCUAGAGUCCGGAAGAGGAGAGUGGAAUUCCCGGUGUAGCGGUGAAAUGCGCAGAUAUCGGGAAGAACACCUGUGGCGAAGGCGGCUCUCUGGGACGGUACUGACGCUGAGACGCGAAAGCGUGGGGAGCAAACAGGAUUAGAUACCCCCGUAGUCC
rnacentral:rRNA from 1 species